UACGUAGGGUGCAAGCGUUGUCCGGAAUUAUUGGGCGUAAAGAGCUCGUAGGCGGUUUGUCGCGUCUGCUGUGAAAAUCCAGGGCUCAACCCUGGACCUGCAGUGGGUACGGGCAGACUAGAGUGCGGUAGGGGAGAUCGGAAUUCCUGGUGUAGCGGUGAAAUGCGCAGAUAUCAGGAGGAACACCGGUGGCGAAGGCGGAUCUCUGGGCCGUAACUGACGCUGAGGAGCGAAAGCAUGGGGAGCGAACAGG
rnacentral:rRNA from 1 species